rnacentral:rRNA from 1 species
AACGCUAGCUACAGGCUUAACACAUGCAAGUCGAGGGGCAGCAUGGUCUUAGCUUGCUAAGGCUGAUGGCGACCGGCACACGGGUGAGUAACACGUAUCCAACCUGCCGUCUACUCUUGGCCAGCCUUCUGAAAGGAAGAUUAAUCCAGGAUGGGAUCAUGAGUUCACAUGUCCGCAUGAUUAAAGGUAUUUUCCGGUAGACGAUGGGGAUGCGUUCCAUUAGAUAGUAGGCGGGGUAACGGCCCACCUAGUCAACGAUGGAUAGGGGUUCUGAGAGGAAGGUCCCCCACAUUGGAACUGAGACACGGUCCAAACUCCUACGGGAGGCAGCAGUGAGGAAUAUUGGUCAAUGGGCGAUGGCCUGAACCAGCCAAGUAGCGUGAAGGAUGACUGCCCUAUGGGUUGUAAACUUCUUUUAUAAAGGAAUAAAGUCGGGUAUGCAUACCCGUUUGCAUGUACUUUAUGAAUAAGGAUCGGCUAACUCCGUGCCAGCAGCCGCGGUAAUACGGAGGAUCCGAGCGUUAUCCGGAUUUAUUGGGUUUAAAGGGAGCGUAGAUGGAUGUUUAAGUCAGUUGUGAAAGUUUGCGGCUCAACCGUAAAAUUGCAGUUGAUACUGGAUGUCUUGAGUGCAGUUGAGGCAGGCGGAAUUCGUGGUGUAGCGGUGAAAUGCUUAGAUAUCACGAAGAACUCCGAUUG